rnacentral:rRNA from 1 species
ACUCCUACGGGAGGCAGCAGUGGGGAAUUUUGGACAAUGGGCGCAAGCCUGAUCCAGCCAUGCCGCGUGAGUGAAGAAGGCCUUCGGGUUGUAAAGCCCUUUUGUCGGGAAAGAAAAGCAUUUGAUUAAUACUCGA